CGGAGCGGAGCGGAGGGAGCCAUCUCCGCUGGCACCCGGGAGGAGCCCAGGGCGCCGGGCCCGCCGCGGACCGCGUGGAAGACAGGGGCGGAUCCUGGACGCGAACCGAGGUUGCCCGACGCGUCGCGCUCUCGCGAUCUCUCCGGUGUGAGUGUCCUCAGCAUGCACCGACAGCAGUAGUGCUCCUUGAAGGUACAUACUGCACACCAUGCUGGGAGGAUCGGCCACCGUGGAGAUGCUUUCUUUUGACCUCAGCCCCGACCGACAGCCAUCAGCUGGACGCCGGUUGACACAUCCACACUUGCUCUGGACCCGACAGUUGCAGCCCAGCCGUGGAUCCCGGAGGCCAGCUGAGCAAGCCAGAAACCCUUGCCGCUACUCAGGUCCAGAAAGCAAUUAAGCAGCAAUAACAUCACCAUUAUUUAGGGGCACAAGGCUGGGGACUUGGGCUUGAGUU